CUCUGAUUGGGUGAAAGAGGGGAACCCAUCCCGGGUGGGUCGGCUCUUUGACGCAGCCUAGGAGAGGGUUGGAGGCGAAGACGCAUGUGCGAAUAUGCUUUGAGGAACCUCUGGAGGCGGGGUCCCCCUGUUAAGAAGCGAGGCCUUGGAGUACCCCUAGUAUUUGAGUGACGGCUGCGUGCUGCGUCAGGGACUUCACUGCAGCCUGGAGGACCCAAAUUCCAAGGGCACUUCCCCUGAAUGCCUGAACAUGGGCCCUGCUUAUAUAGCUCAUGUCGCCGGGUGACUGAUUGUCAUGGACGGCAGCUUUUACGAAGCCACAAGCUGCCGUGUGGGUGUGGAAGGUGCCUGCAGCUCGGGGGCUAAGGGAGACAAAGGCAGGAACAGAGCCUUGGUACGGUGGCAAGAGCACGCGCGCACCAGAGACCGGGCCUUGCGCUGUGGCGGCCACAGCGACUGCGGUGAGCAGGAGGGCUGUUGGCCUGUCUGCAUGGAUACUUGUGUCUUCAGAUAAAAAUAGCUUCUAGGGCCACAGGGUCACCCUUCAGAACCAAACGGGGACAAUGUGUUCCAGAAAACUGGGUCAGUGACUCAAAACGUGACUGAGAAGGGUGACAAGUUUGGAAAAAAAAAAAUGGUUUCGUGAAAUA